UUUUGUUUCUUUGAAAGUUUUUUGGAGGGGAUUGUCCUGGCCAAGAACUCAGUCAUUUUUCUGUGUACCAAGUUUUGCCUAAAUUGUGCAGGUGGUUCUUAAAAAAGAAAGAAAAGGAAAAGAAAAGUGUGUGUCUUGUUGGAGGGCCAGAAGUUUGUCGUGUGACAGUAUUAGCCCGGCCUCGGCUACAGGUUUAAAGUCUGUUAGGCCUAAGUGCAGCUCCCCGUGGCCUGCACACACCGUAGGAGAAGGUCAGCUUUCCUGUGGGGUUUUGUUUCAUUUUGUUUUGUUUUUUGCCUACCUCACUGUUUUUAAUGCAUUGAGAGGUGACUUAGUUUAUGGUUUUGGCAGAAAACAUUAAUGUUUAAUUUAACCUUAAUACCAAAACUAUCUGAUUAAAGUUUGACUUUGUCACAAGUCUAAAUCAGGUACAAAAAAGGAAAAAAACAAAAAAUAAAAAACAAGCCUGUCUAUGACAGCAGGGAGUAGCCUUGUAGCUGCUGCAGUCUGCUUCUAGCAUGCAGACUGCUCUGUUCUCACCAAGUUCACCAUUAGCGGGUGACAGGCAGCCAGCUGCCACCUGUGACACAUAAGAGAUGUCAUUGUUCUCAGUUGGGUUUGGAAGCAGGCAGGGGUCACACUGGGGAGUCACACAGACUGUUGAUGUUGCAGGAGCCUUUCUUGGGAGUGACGGUGUGUCCCUUUUCUAAGAAUGCAAUGCACUAAAACUGUUUUAAGAAUGUAGUUUGCCCUACUUCUUCAUAGAUGGCCCCUCCCUGCCUGUGUUUCAGGUGUAAAAUCGACACUCUGGCUUUUCUCCUUUUCUCACGUGCUCUCUUGUUCUCUUUUUUUAAAACUAAUUUUUCUUUAUGAAUAUGUCUGUGACAUUUGUAAUAAAUGUCUUGUA
rnacentral:lncRNA from 1 species